rnacentral:rRNA from 1 species
GCAAGUCGAGCGCGCAUUUCGGUGCGAGCGGCGGACGGGUUAGUAACGCGUGGGAACGUACCUCUCUCUACGGAAUAGCCAUUGGAAACGAUGAAUAAUACCGUAUACGCCCUUUUGGGGAAAGAUUUAUCGGAGAGAGAUCGGCCCGCGUUAGAUUAGAUAGUUGGUGGGGUAACGGCCUACCAAGUCUACGAUCUAUAGCUGGUUUGAGAGGAUGAUC